AUCUCUUGGAGUUCUAGCUCACCUUUCUAGUGUUGUUCUUGUACUCAUCUGUUUAAUCUAGUUUUGUCACUUCUUCUUGAACUUCUUGUUAGAUUUCAAGUCUGUAUUUUGUGUCCGUGACAGGAUCUUAAGAAGGUCCAAACUAUCAUGGAUUGGAAGGUUUAAAAAACAAUCAGAAACAUACAAUAUUUUUUGAACUUUUCUAAUUAUUAUAAAAUCUUC
rnacentral:lncRNA from 1 species